GAGUUUGAUCUUGGCUCAGAACGAACGCUGGCGGCGUGGAUAAGACAUGCAAGUCGAACGCUUAUCUUCGGGUAGCAAGUAUUCGAAGGUAGGAGUGGCGCAAGGGUGCGUAACACGUGGAUCAUCUGCCUGGAAGUUCGGAAGUAAUUCCUCGAAAGAGGGACUAAUGCCGGAUGUGGUUGGAAGACUAAAGUUGGGGACCGCAAGGGCCUGACGCUUCCAGAUGAGUCCGCGGCCUAUCAGCUAGUUGGCGGGU
rnacentral:rRNA from 1 species